rnacentral:rRNA from 1 species
UACGGAGGGGGCUAGCGUUGUUCGGAGUUACUGGGCGUAAAGGGCGCGUAGGCGGCGCACCAAGUCAGGCGUGAAAGCCCUGGGCUCAACCCGGGAAUUGCGCUUGAGACUGGUGUGCUUGAGUACGGGAGAGGAUAGUGGAAUUCCCAGUGUAGAGGUGAAAUUCGUAGAUAUUGGGAAGAACACCGGUGGCGAAGGCGGCUAUCUGGACCGUAACUGACGCUGAGGCGCGAAAGCGUGGGGAGCAAACAGG